rnacentral:misc_RNA from 1 species
UCAUAAUCUAGAGAGAGAAAAAAUUUGCCCAUGAGCUGAUAAUUGUUCGACUCACUCACAAAUUCAGAAACCAACAACAAUUUGUGUACAAUGCUUUUAAUACAAAGCGAAAAUCCUAUUCUUGGUUACUAUGUAGUAAGUAUCUCAUCAUGAUACUUGUAUAAUCUUGGAGAGCUACAGCGAGUGCGUACAUUUCAAGACUUGCACAAACCAGAAUUUUCUCUCAUUUGGUAACACUCUUUACUAGUGAAAUGAAAGAGUUUCAGUCCCCUUGAUAGUUGAAAUGCUUCCGUCAAUAUUCCCAUCGGAUUAUAUAUUGAAAGGACCUAAAAAGCAUCAGCAACUUUGAUGCCUGCCCUAUUGUCCCACACCUCUGGUGCAUCAACACUUGCAAUAAUCUGCUCCUGCUCCUGGCCACGCCAAAGAAUCUUAUCAAUAACGCCAAAUUCUCUAGCUUUGAUAGAAUCCAUGUAAUAUGGUCUUCUCAUAACAUUGGAAACAGUCUCUUCCGAAUUUUCAGUAUGUUUAGCCAAAAGCUUGACAAGGUUGUCUCUGUUAACGAGUACCUCCUUUGCCCGGAUAUAAACAUCGCUGGCCUGCAUUAAUCCAGAUGAUGGUGCACGGGGCUGUUGAAUCAUGGCUUUGGCAUGUGGCAUCAUAAACCUUUUGCCCUUAGUACCAGCUGCAAGCAAUAGACAUGCCUGACCUAUGGCAGCACCAACUGCUACAGUGUGUAUCUCGUUUUGAAGUUGCAUCAUGGAAUCAUAAAUUGCAAAACCUUCUGCUUCCAUACCAACCGUUUCACCAUCAUCACGGGUAGUCCCAGUAGAAUUUAUGUAUAGAUAAAUUGGCGCUUUAGGAUCCAUAUAUUGUAGGUACAUCAACUCUGCAAUCACAAGCUCUGUGACUGCUGACACCAACGGCAUGCCAAUAUAAACUAUUCUACCAUGGAGCAACAUAGAGGGCAAGUCUGGUGGAGGUGUACUCGCUCUGUGCUCAUUGUAUGAUACUGAUCUCUCCACCUGAGCAGGAGUAGCCAUGAGCUUAGGGGAGUCGUAAAUGUCCAAAAAUGGCGGCAUAUCAGAAUUUUGAGGCCGAGAGAAGAGUGCAUCUGGAUUAUUUGCAGCAACAGAGGCAAGCUUACUUAGAAAUGGGUCCUUAGGGUUAAAAGGAGGCAUCGGAAUGUUUGAACUGCUAUUGCUAUAGGCUGCACACCGAAAAUUGAAGCUACGGUGUUUCAGUGUCAUCGAUGAAGAUGAAGAACAUGGAAUUGAGGACGCCAUGGGCAACCGCAAGCACGUGGCCAUGAUUUCUCCACGGAUGAAUUUCGAUUCUUCUGG